AGAGUUUGAUCCUGGCUCAGAUUGAACGCUGGCGGCAUGCCUUACACAUGCAAGUCGAACGGCAGCACGGGAGCAAUCCUGGUGGCGAGUGGCGAACGGGUGAGUAAUAUAUCGGAACGUGCCCAGUAGUGGGGGAUAGCCCGGCGAAAGCCGGAUUAAUACCGCAUACGACCUGUGGGUGAAAGCGGGGGAUCGCAAGACCUCGCGCUAUUGGAGCGGCCGAUAUCAGAUUAGCUUGUUGGUGGGGUAAAAGCCCACCAAGGCGACGAUCUGUAGCUGGUCUGAGAGGACGACCAGCCACACUGGGACUGAGACACGGCCCA
rnacentral:rRNA from 1 species